AAAGCCCAGCACUGAAGCCCGCAGUCGGAAACGGUUGCCGGGCAAUGUAGUGUUUAGGAGAGCCCAACUAACCCGGGCGUGCGUAGCGUGUCCAAGUCCUUCUUGAACGGGGCCAUUCACCCAGAGAGGGUGCCAGGCCCGUAGUGACCGUUGCCGCGCACGGGUGGGUUUCUCCUUAGAGUCGGGUUGCUUGAGAGUGCAGCUCUAAGUGGGUGGUAAACUCCAUCUAAGGCUAAAUAUGACCACGAGACCGAUAGCGAACAAGUACCGUGAGGGAAAGUUGAAAAGAACUUUGCAGAGAGAGUUCAAUAGUACGUGAAACCGUUCAGGGGUAAACCUGAGAAGCUCGAAAGCUCGAAGGGGGAGAUUCAAUCGCCUCGCCUGUGGCAGCAUGUCUCUGGCGCGACAUGGGACACGUACGUCGUCAUCGCGCGUUCUCGUUCGUCGGGUUCGUGUCGUUGCGUCGUGCGCGCCCCGUCAUUGGCAGUUGUCUGUCGCAGGAGGUGUGCACUUCUCCCCUUGUAGAACGUCGUGACCCAUUGGGUGUGUGUGUGUAACAGCCGUCUAAGGUCCGCUGGGGCAGCCCGGUGCGUUCGCCGAUACGCUUCAAAACCGUGUCGCGAACAUAUCCGAACCCGCGGUGUCCUGACAGGCCACUCGAUGGUAAAAACUUGCUGGUGCUGGGUCGCUGCCUUUGUUGUGCGUAAGCGUUUUGACUCGUGACAAGCACUUUGUGUGUUCGCAUGUGGGGAGCACCGGACCUGGUGCCGGCUCCUCACGCACAAUGCUGUUAGUCACUUGUGUGUAUGAGCCUAAAACCGGCCCUUUUGCACCCGUCGGCGACGCUUCUGCUUUGGGUAAUUUCAGGACCCGUCUUGAAACACGGACCAAGGAGUCUAGCAUGUGCGCGAGUCAUUGGGUCUAGCGAAACCUAAAGGCGAAAUGAAAGUGAAAGUUUAUCUUGCACAUAAACCGAGGGAAGAUGGGCUACCCAUUAGGUGUAGCCUCGCACUCCCGGGGCGUCCCAGCAACUCAU
rnacentral:rRNA from 1 species